UGCCAGCAGCCGCGGUAAUACGAAGGGACCUAGCGUAGUUCGGAAUUACUGGGCUUAAAGAGUUCGUAGGUGGUUAAAAAAGUUGGAUGUGAAACCCCAAGGCUUAACCUUGGAACUGCCACCAAAACUUUUUAACUAGAGUAUGAUAGAGGUAAGCGGAAUUUCUAGUGUAGAGGUGAAAUUCGUAGAUAUUAGAAAGAACACCAAUUGCGAAGGCAGUUUACUGGAUCAUUACUGACACUGAGGAGCGAAAGCAUGGGUAGCGAAGAGGAUUAGAUA
rnacentral:rRNA from 1 species